rnacentral:rRNA from 1 species
AUACGUAGGUGGCGAGCGUUAUCCGGAAUUACUGGGCGUAAAGCGCAAGCAGGCGGCUCGUUAAGUUUGACGUAAAAUCUCCUGGCUUAACUGGGAGGGGUCGUUGGAGACUGGCGAGCUUGAGGCGAUGAGAGGGGCAUGGAAUUCCCGGUGUAGUGGUGGAAUGCGUAGAGAUCGGGAGGAACACCAGAGGCGAAAGCGGUGCCCUGGCAUUGGCCUGACGCUCAUGUGCGAAAGCGUGGGGAGCGAACGGGAUUAGAUACCCCGGUAGUCCACGCCGUAAACGAUGAGUACUGGGUGUAGGUGGGGUUAGAGCCAUCUGUGCCGAAGCAAACGCGUUAAGUACUCCGCCUGGGGAGUACGGCCGCAAGGCUAAA